UACGUAGGGGGCGAGCGUUGUCCGGAAUUAUUGGGCGUAAAGAGCGUGUAGGCGGUUCGGUAAGUCUGCCGUGAAAACCUGGGGCUCAACCCCGGGCGUGCGGUGGAUACUGCCGGGCUAGAGGGUGGUAGAGGCGAGUGGAAUUCCCGGUGUAGCGGUGAAAUGCGCAGAUAUCGGGAGGAACACCAGUAGCGAAGGCGGCUCACUGGCCCGUAACUGACGCUGAGGCACGAAAGCGUGGGGAGCAAACAGG
rnacentral:rRNA from 1 species